ensembl:lncRNA
AUGGUUAGGCUUUUUGUUCCUACCCAAUCUGUAACGUAUCAAUCCCCUGUUAUAAAGUGGCACUUCAAACCGGCUGCUGAUCUGUAUGGCAGAGGUGUAGUCAUCCAUGGCUUCAUAAAAAUCUACCCGCAGAUACUUCACCUGCCCUCGGUUAUUAUAGGCGAUGGCCAAAUCAUGAGCACUGCAGUCUCUAGAUUUGGUGCAAGCCUCGAUGAAUUGUGUGUAUAAUUCCUCUGCUGGUUUAUAAUUCUUACUGUUGAACUCGUCAUGUGCUUUUUGUAGGAUCAAGAGCUCGCUGUCCUCCAUGAGACGCACUACUACUGGCGAUAAUCAGCUCAUGCAUAUUAAUUAGUGCGUACUGACGUUGUUUAAUUUUUUCCUGGAACGUCCAAUCAUUGAGCCAAAUUAAUAUUCAUGAGCAUUAGAUCGUGUGCCAAGUAGAUGUUUCUAUGUAAUCGCGGUAUGCGCGCGCCCCCUUUUGAGCCGGAGUGUAAUAAUUAGCGCUCAAAAGCCAAAAAAAAAAAAAAGACCAAGUACACUUUCAAAGCUUCACGUUAAAUAAUAAUGGAAUGGUAAAUAAAUCCCCUGCAGGGACAUUUUUAGAAAACAUUUUAGUUAGGCUACCAUUAGCCUAUUUUAUUUAGUCAUUUAGUUUUGUUUCAUAACUUAUACAUUUAGUUGAAGAUUAUAUCAAAAUACAUUUUCACUUUAUGUAUUUAUUACAACGUAAACAUGUGAAAUAAAGAGUUGUUUGUGCCGCACUCAGGUUUACCUGUACUACACAGUAGUCUACUGCGCCAGAGCCAUGCAGAUGUUAAGUAGGCAGUCUAUAUGAAAUAUGCAGUGAUUACCAUAUCAAAAUAACUUACAAAAUUCACCAUAAACUGCCUACAUAUGCCUACUGCAUAAAUAUCGCAACUAAUGUUGUAUUACUUUUCUAAUUCUACAUAAAGCGCAAAUAAAGGCCUACCUGUAAGAUGUCUAGCGUUUCUCCCCAUGUCCUCACAAUCACAAAAACAAACUUUGCACAGAAAUUCACUUCUGGGUAUGUCAAUAUGCACUGCCUUUCAGCAUACUGCAUUUUUUUUUUUUUUUACUGUGGUGAUUUGCUGGGAAAUGUCUCAUCUCCAUGCUUACCUUGAGGUUAGGAUGUGGAAAUAUUUACCAGACCUGUUUUUCGCCCAGUCUAUGACAGGAUAGAUGGUUUCAGAGACAGGUGGAAGGUAAAUGUGUACACUGGCAAUGCUUUGAAGAGAAUACAGAGAAUUCAUGGCCAGCACAGUGUGCCAGUCAAAAACAAGACAGCAGAAAUAUUGCAGAGCCUAUUUCAAAAAGAAUUGUGAAUGGUUUAGAAGAGGUGAGUAGUUUCAAAUGCACCAAUGGGGCCUGGUGCACCGUCACCUAGAUUUCAGUGAACUUGGAGACCUCGGAUCUUUCCUCACCCUUAUGACCCAAAUAUUGGUGUUUGCCGUGAGAAUUAACAUGCUACAUUGAAGUCUCAUGUGAGCAAAGCCUUGAACAGUCCUGAUCUCUCCUCUCCAAAAGAUCUCUUUCAUUCCAUCUCCUUGCAACCAGAUGAAUACUUUCUUUGUUUGCUUUAACAGGUGAUUGAGAAAUAUCAGUUGAUGUGAUCUUGAAAAUAUCCCAAUUCCUGUAGGUUGUGAA